UACGGAGGGUGCAAGCGUUGUUCGGAAUUAUUGGGCGUAAAGCGCGUGUAGGCGGUCAUCUAAGUCUGGUGUGAAAUCCUGGGGCUCAACCCCAGAAGUGCACUGGAUACUGGACGACUAGAGGACGAGAGAGGAAAGUGGAAUUCCUGGUGUAGGGGUGAAAUCCGUAGAUAUCAGGAGGAACACCAGUGGCGAAGGCGACUACCUGGCCUGUUCUUGACGCUGAGGCGCGAAAGCUAGGGGAGCAAACGGG
rnacentral:rRNA from 1 species